rnacentral:rRNA from 1 species
AACCCGUAAGGGAGGCAGCAGCCGAAGGUAGGGUCAGCGAUUGGGGUGAAGUCGUAACAAGGUAGCCGUAGGAGAACCUGCGGCUGGAUCACCUCCUUU